GACGAACGCUGGCGGCGUGCUUAACACAUGCAAGUCGAACGAAGUGGCGAACGGGUGAGUAACGCGUAAUCAACCUGCCCUUCAGCGGGGGACAACAGUUGGAAACGACUGCUAAUACCGCAUACUGAAGGAGGGGAUUGCGUCUGAUUAGCGAGUUGGAGGGGGAACGGCCCACCAAGGCGAUGAUCAGUAGCCGGGUUGGGAGGGUGAACGGCCACAUUGGGACUGGGAAACGGCCCAAGCUCCUACGGGAGGCCGCCGGGGGGAAUCUUCCGCAAAGGACGAAAGUCUGACGGAGCAACGCCGCGUGAGUGAUGGCGGCCUUCGGGUUGUAAAGCUCUGUUAAUCGGGACGCGGUACCGGAAUAGAAAGCCACGGCUAACUACGUGCCAGCAGCCGCGGUAAUAC
rnacentral:rRNA from 1 species